rnacentral:rRNA from 1 species
AACGGUAACAUGAGAGCUUGCCUCGAUGACGAGUGGCGCACGGGUGCGUAACACGUAUGCAACCUACCUUCAACUGGGGGAUAGCCCGAAGAAAUUCGGAUUAAUACCCCAUAAUAAUAGAAAUUCGCAUGUUUUUCUAUUUAAAACUCCGGUGGUUGAAGAUGGGCAUGCGUCCUAUUAGUUAGUUGGUGAGGUAACGGCUCACCAAGACUCCGAUAGGUAGGGGUUCUGAGAGGAAGAUCCCCCACACUGGUACUGAGACACGGACCAGACUCCUACGGGAGGCAGCAGUGAGGAAUAUUGGACAAUGGACGAAAGUCUGAUCCAGCCAUGCCGCGUGUAGGAAGACUGCCCUCUGGGUUGUAGACUACUUUUAUAAGGGAAUAAACCCCCGUACGUGUACGGGGCUGAAUGUACCUUAAGAAUAAGCACCGGCUAACUCCGUGCCAGCAGCCGCGGUAAUACGGAGGGUACAAGCGUUAUCCGGAUUUAUUGGGUUUAAAGGGUCCGUAGGGUGGAAUUGUAAGUCAGUGGUGA